rnacentral:rRNA from 1 species
CAGCCGUAAACUAUGCUCGCUAGGUGUCAGGCAUGGCGCGACCGUGUCUGGUGCCGCAGGGAAGCCGUGAAGCGAGCCACCUGGGAAGUACGGCCGCAAGGCUGAAACUUAAAGGAAUUGGCGGGGGAGCACAACAACGGGUGGAGCCUGCGGUUUAAAUUGGACUCAACGCCGGACAACUCACCGGGGGACGACAGCAAUAUGUAGGCCAGGCUGAAGACCUUGCCUGAAUCGCUGAGAGGAGGUGCAUGGCGUAGACGUCU